rnacentral:rRNA from 1 species
UACGUAGGGCGCAAGCGUUGUCCGGAAUUAUUGGGCGUAAAGAGCUCGUAGGCGGCUUGUCACGUCGAUUGUGAAAGCCCGAGGCUUAACCUCGGGUCUGCAGUCGAUACGGGCUAGCUAGAGUGUGGUAGGGGAGAUCGGAAUUCCUGGUGUAGCGGUGAAAUGCGCAGAUAUCAGGAGGAACACCGGUGGCGAAGGCGGAUCUCUGGGCCAUUACUGACGCUGAGGAGCGAAAGCGUGGGGAGCGAUCAGG